rnacentral:rRNA from 1 species
AGCAUGUGGUUUAAUUCGACGCAACGCGAAGAACUUACCAGGUUUGACAUCCCUGACGGCUGUGGAAACACAGAAUUCUAUUUUCGGAUAGACAGGGAGACAGGUGGGUGCAUGGUUGUCGUCAGCUCGUGUCGUGAGAUGUUGGGUUAAGUCCCGCAACGAGCGCAACCCCUACGUUUAGUUGCUAACGGGUGGAGCCGAGCACUCUGGACGAACUGCCGUUGACAAAACGGAGGAAGGCGGGGAUGCGUCAAAUCAUCAUGCCCUUUAUGUCCUGGGCUACACACGUGCUACAAUGGCCUGUACAAAGGGCAGCAAAGGGGCGACCCGGAGCAAAUCCCAAAAAACAGGUCUCAGUUCGGAUUGCAGGCUGCAACUCGCCUGCAUGAAGGCGGAAUCGCUAGUAAUCGCAGGUCAGCAUACUGCGGUGAAUACGUUCCCGGGCCUU